rnacentral:RNase_P_RNA from 2 species
CGAGUCAGUCCGACGGUCGCGGCGUGGGCAACCACGUCGAGGAAAGUCCGGGCUCCACAGGGCAUGGUGGUGGCCAACAGCCACCCGGGGUGACCCGCGGGACAGUGCCACAGAGAACAGACCGCCUCAUCGUCGUUCAUCGGCGACGGGGUAAGGGUGAAACGGUGGUGUAAGAGACCACCAGCGGCUCCGGUGACGGAGUCGGCUAGGUAAACCCCACCCGGAGCAAGCUCAGACAGUGUGCGUUCGAGGGCGGCCCGCCCGAGCACACGGGUAGGGCGCUGGAGGCCGCUGGCAACAGUGGCCCAAGAUGGAUGACCGUCAGCGUGACCCGGGCAACCGGCCACGUGACAGAACCCGGCUUAUGACUGACUCGUCCG